rnacentral:rRNA from 1 species
AGAGCGAACGCUGGCGGCAGGCCUAAUACAUGCAAGUCGAACGGAUCCUUCGGGAUUAGUGGCGGACGGGUGAGUAACACGUGGGAACGUGCCCUUUGGUUCGGAACAACUCAGGGAAACUUGAGCUAAUACCGGAUGUGCCCUUCGGGGGAAAGAUUUAUCGCCAUUGGAGCGGCCCGCGUCUGAUUAGCUAGUUGGUGGGGUAAAGGCCUACCAAGGCUACGAUCAGUAGCUGGUCUGAGAGGAUGAUCAGCCACACUGGGACUGAGACACGGCCCAGACUCCUACGGGAGGCAGCAGUAGGGAAUCUUGCGCAAUGGGCGAAAGCCUGACGCAGCCAUGCCGCGUGAAUGAUGAAGGUCUUAGGAUUGUAAAAUUCUUUCAGCGGGGACGAUAAUGACGGUACCGCAGAAGAACGCCCCGGCUAACUUCGUGCCAGCAGCCGC